GGCACUGUGGCGGAGUGGUUAACGCGACAGAUUCGAAUUACACUUUAUCUGUUCCUCUUGUAGGGCGCAUGUUCGAAUCAUGCCAGUGUCG